rnacentral:rRNA from 1 species
AGCAGUCGCCACGGUAAUACGUAGGUGGCAAGCGUUGUCCGGAAUUAUUGGGCGUAAAGGGCUCGCAGGCGGUUUCUUAAGUCUGAUGUGAAAGCCCCCGGCUCAACCGGGGAGGGUCAUUGGAAACUGGGAAACUUGAGUGCAGAAGAGGAGAGUGGAAUUCCACGUGUAGCGGUGAAAUGCGUAGAGAUGUGGAGGAACACCAGUGGCGAAGGCAACUCUCUGGUCUGUAACUGACGCUGAGGAGCGAAAGCGUGGGGAGCGAACAGGAUUAGAUACCCUUAGUCCCUGUCUCUUAUACAC